GCCCUCUAUGAUUUCUAUUUCAUUUAUUUUGAAUUAACAUAUCACAAAAUUUUCUAUUUAAAAUCAUCUAUUAAGAAUUAAUAUUUUAUUAAUUUUAUUUUGGGACAUUUCAUUACGAUUUUAAUAUAAAAAAUGAACAAAUAUCUUCUUUCUUUCUGAGAUAUUUGUUUCUUCAAAAAAAAGAUUAAUCAAUGAUUAAUCAAUAUCAAUUUAAUCAAUCAAAAUAGAAUUGGCAAAACUUGCCAACCUUUUGACAAAAAAUAAGAUAAAUGACAAUCAAAAAAAUUCUACAAAACAAAAGAAUAAUACUCAAUUUAGUAAUAAAUCCUUAAGAAAAAUAUAUAUAUUGUUUUUUAUGUAAUAGACCGAAAAAAUCUAGGCAAGUACAAUACUACUUAUUGAAUCAUUGAAAAGAAAAUAAAGGAGCAAAAGCCCUUCUUGGUAAACCAAGAAAGAGUUUAUUGCUCCUUAUAUUAUUCUAUUUUCAAAACCUCCUAUACACUAAGACCAAGUCUUAUCC
rnacentral:misc_RNA from 1 species